UAGCCAUAUCAUGUUGAAACACUAGUUCUCGUAUGAUUACUGAAGUUAAGCAAUGUUAAGUCUGAUCAGUACCUAGAUGGGUGACCACUUGGGCAUACCAGGUAC